CUGUGAGGGUUGCUGGAGGUAUCAGAAGUGCGAAUGCUGACAUAAGUAACGAUAAAGCGGGUGAAAAGCCCGCUCGCCGGAAGACCAAGGGUUCCUGUCCAACGUUAAUCGGGGCAGGGUGAGUCGACCCCUAAGGCGAGGCCGAAAGGCGUAGUCGAUGGGAAACGGGUUAAUAUUCCCGUACUUGGUGUUACUGCGAAGGGGGGACGGAGAAGGCUAUGUUGGCCGGGCGACGGUUGUCCCGGUUUAAGCGUGUAGGUGUGUGUUCCAGGUAAAUCCGGUUCACUUUAACACUGAGGCGUGACGACGAGGCACCACGGUGCUGAAGCAACAAAUGCCCUGCUUCCAGGAAAAGCCUCUAAGCAUCAGGUAACAUCAAAUCGUACCCCAAACCGACACAGGUGGUCAGGUAGAGAAUACCAAGGCGCUUGAGAGAACUCGGGUGAAGGAACUAGGCAAAAUGGUGCCGUAACUUCGGGAGAAGGCA
rnacentral:rRNA from 1 species